rnacentral:rRNA from 1 species
GAGGAGCCUGGAGAUGGGCACUGAGACAAGGCCCAGGUCAUAUGGGGCGCAGCAGGCGCGCAACCUCCGCAAUGGGCGAAAGCCCGACGGGGUCAGUCCGAGUGGCUCCCGCUAAGGGAGUCUUUCCGCCAGCUGUAAACAGGCUGGUGAAUAAGGGGUGGGCAAGCCUGGUGUCAGCCGCCGCGGUAAUACCAGCACCCCGAGUGGUCGGGAUGAUUAUUGGGCCUAAAGCAUCCGUAGCCGGUGUAACAAGUCCUCCGUUAAAUCCACUCUGCUUAACAGGUGGGCUGCGGAGGAUACUGUUACACUAGGAGGCGGGAGAGGCGAGGGGUAUUCCACGGGUAGGGGUAAAAUCCUCUGAUCCGUGGAGGACCACCAGUGGCGAAGGCGCCUCACCAGAACGCGCUCGACGGUGAGGGAUGAAAGCUGGGGGAGCAAACCGGAUUAGAUACCCGGGUAGUCCCAGCCGUAAACGAUGUAGGCUCGGUGAUGGACUGGCUCCGAGCCAGUCCAGUGCCGCAGGGAAGCCGUUAAGCCUACCGCCUGGGGAGCACCAUAAGGGGUGAAGCUGCGGUUCAACUGGAGUCCACGCCGGGAAUCUUACCAGGGGCGACAGCAGGAUGAAGGUCGGGCUGAAGACCUUACCAGACGAGCUGAGAGGAGGUGCAUGGCCGUCGCCAGCUCGUGCCGUGAGGUGUCCUGUUAAGUCAGGUAACGAGCGAGACCCUCGUCCCUAAUUGCUACCAUCAUUCUCAGGAAUGGUGGGGGGAAUUAGGGAGACUGCCGUUGUUAAAACGGAGGAAGGAGAGGGCCACGGCAGGUCAGUAUGCCCCGAAACCCUUGGGCCACACGCGGGCUGCAAUGGUAGGGACAACGGGUUCCAAACUCGGAAGAGUGAGGUAAUCCUUUAAACCCUACCCCAGUUAUGAUUGAGGGCUGGAACUCGCCCUCAUGAAUCUGGAAUCCCUAGUAAUCGCGCGUCAACAUCGCGCGGUGAAUACGUCCCUGUCUCCUGUCACACACCGUCCCGUCGUCUUCAUCCGAGCCGGGUCUGUGCGAGAGGUACCAAGUUGGUAUCAUCGAACGUG